AGGUAAGCUACUAAGAGCGAAUGGUGGAUGCCUUGACUGGUAAAGGCGAUGAAGGACGUACUAGACUGCGAUAAGCUACGGGGAGCUGUCAAGAAGCUUUGAUCCGUAGAUUUCCGAAUGGGGCAACCCAAUGUAUAGAGAUAUACAUUACCUAUAUAGGAGCGAACGAGGGGAAUUGAAACAUCUUAGUACCCUCAGGAAAAGAAAUCAAUAGAGAUUGCGUCAGUAGCGGCGAGCGAAAGCGCAAGAGGGCAAACCCAGUGCUUGCACUGGGGGUUGUAGGACUGCAAUGUGCAAGAGGUAAGUUUAGCAGAACAUUCUGGAAAGUAUAACCAUAGAGGGUGAUAGUCCCGUAUGCGAAAAACAAACCUUAGCUAGCAGUAUCCUGAGUAGGGCGGGACACGAGGAAUCCUGUCUGAAUCCGGGUCGACCACGAUCCAACCCUAAAUACUAAUACCAGAUCGAUAGUGCACAAGUACCGUGAGGGAAAGGUGAAAAGAACUGAGGUGAUCAGAGUGAAAUAGAACCUGAAACCAUUUGCUUACAAUCAUUCAGAGCCCUAUGUAGCAAUACAGGGUGAUGGACUGCCUUUUGCAUAAUGAGCCUGCGAGUUGUGGUGUCUGGCAAGGUUAAGCAAACGCGAAGCCGUAGCGAAAGCGAGUCUGAAUAGGGCGCUUAGUCAGAUGCUGCAGACCCGAAACGAAGUGAUCUAUCCAUGAGCAAGUUGAAGCUAGUGUAAGAACUAGUGGAGGACUGAACCCAUAGGCGUUGAAAAGCCCCGGGAUGACUUGUGGAUAGGGGUGAAAGGCCAAUCAAACUUCGUGAUAGCUGGUUCUCUCCGAAAUAUAUUUAGGUAUAGCGUUGUGUCGUAAUAUAAGGGGGUAGAGCACUGAAUGGGCUAGGGCAUACACCAAUGUACCAAACCCUAUCAAACUCCGAAUACCUUAUAUGUAAUCACAGCAGUCAGGCGGCGAGUGAUAAAAUCCGUCGUCAAGAGGGAAACAACCCAGACUACCAGCUAAGGUCCCUAAAUCUUACUUAAGUGGAAAACGAUGUGAAGUUACUUAAACAACCAGGAGGUUGGCUUAGAAGCAGCCAUCCUUUAAAGAAAGCGUAAUAGCUCACUGGUCUAGUGAUUUUGCGCGGAAAAUAUAACGGGGCUAAAGUAAGUACCGAAGCUGUAGACUUAGUUUACUAAGUGGUAGGAGAGCGUUCUAUUUGCGUCGAAGGUAUACCGGUAAGGAGUGCUGGAGCGAAUAGAAGUGAGCAUGCAGGCAUGAGUAGCGAUAAUUAAUGUGAGAAUCAUUAACGCCGUAAACCCAAGGUUUCCUACGCGAUGCUCGUCAUCGUAGGGUUAGUCGGGUCCUAAGUCGAGUCCGAAAGGGGUAGACGAUGGCAAAUUGGUUAAUAUUCCAAUACCAACAUUAGUGUGCGAUGGAAGGACGCUUAGGGCUAAGGGGGCUAGCGGAUGGAAGUGCUAGUCUAAGGUCGUAGGAGGUUAUACAGGCAAAUCCGUAUAACAAUACUCCGAGAACUGAAAGGCUUUUUGAAGUCUUCGGAUGGAUAGAAGAACCCCUGAUGCCGUCGAGCCAAGAAAAGUUUCUAAGUUUAGCUAAUGUUGCCCGUAC
rnacentral:rRNA from 1 species